UGGUCUGCAGCCACUUCACAUCCUUCCAGCUCAGGGUGCGAUCGAUUUGCCCGGCGACGUAAGAAGCCAGUCCUGAAUCGCUAGCCUGGUCCAUUUUCCCCAGCUCCAGGCCUUCAAAGUUCUUCAGUGUCAAAAAUGGUGGCAGAACAAACCUGUUCUUGAUGUCAGCCUCCCUACGGCCAAGUCGCGGAGUAUCCACCGUAAGCGCAAUCGCCUUGAAUCCAGCCCUUUCAGCUCUCCUAACAAGCUGCUCCACCACCCUCCUGUCUUUGUAAACAUAAAGCUGGAAGAAACGAAUCCCUGGUCCAG
rnacentral:misc_RNA from 1 species